CGCGUAGGCGGGCCUGUCAGUCAGAGGUGAAAUCCCACAGCUUAACUGUGGAACUGCCUUUGAUACUGCAGGUCUUGAGUGCGGAAGAGAGAGACGGAAUUCCAGGUGUAGUGGUGAAAUACGUAGAUAUCUGGAAGAACACCAGAGGCGAAGGCGGUCUCUUGGUCCGUUACUGACGCUGAGGCGCGAAAGCGUGGGGAGCGAACAGGAUUAGAUACCCUGGUAGUCC
rnacentral:rRNA from 1 species